AUCGAUGAAGAACGCAGCGAAACGCGAUAGGUAAUGUGAAUUGCAGAAUUCCGUGAAUCAUCGAAUCUUUGAACGCACCUUGCGCUCUAUGGUAUUCCGUAGAGCAUGCCUGUUUGAGUGCCGUGAAUUCUCCCAUCCCAAGCGGUUUUUAUCAAAGAAUUGCUAGGCGAAGGGGUUGAGAUGGGCGUUGUUAUAACUGCUUUUCUUCUCUAGGAAAGCUCGCCCGAAAAACAGCUAACGCCUCUGGGCCACUUUGCAUCCGCUUCUCUGAGGGGAGAAGCGGCCAAGCGCGCUCUGAUCAUCAGGCAUAGCAUGAUACGUCAUUUGCUAUGCUGUAGGAGAGCAUUUGGUUGUGGUUAUACCGCGUGCGUCAUUUUUUCUUUUGCAAAACGCAAAGGAAAAAAACCCCCUUUCAUUUCUGGUCUCAAAUCAGGUAGGAUCACCCGCUGAACUUAAGCAUAUCAAUAAGCGGAGGAAAAGAAACUAACAAGGAUUCCCCUAGUAACGGCGAGCGAAGCGGGAAGAGCUCAAAUUUGAAAGCUGGCACCUUCGGUGUCCGCGUUGUAAUCUCGAGACGUGUUUUCCGUGCGGCUCUAUGGACAAGUCCCUUGGAAUAGGGCAUCGUAGAGGGUGAGAAUCCCGUACUUGCCAUGGAAGAACCGUGCUUUGCGAUACACGCUCUAAGAGUCGAGUUGUUUGGGAUUGCAGCUCAAAAUGGGUGGUAGACUCCAUCUAAAGCUAAAUAUCGGGGAGAGACCGAUAGCGAACAAGUACCGUGAGGGAAAGAUGAAAAGCACUUUGGAAAGAGAGUUAAAAGUACGUGAAAUUGUCGAAAGGGAAGCACUUGAAGUCAGCCAUGCUGCUUGAGACUCAGCCUGGCCUUUGGGCUUGGUGUAUUUCUCGGUGGCAAGCCAGCAUUGGUUUGGGUCGUCGGAGAAGCGCAUAGGGAAUGUAGCGUUUCCGGACGUGUUAUAGCCUUAUGCAGGAUACGACGACCUGGAUCAAGGAACGCAGUGUGCCCUCUGGGCGGGUCUUCGGACACCUUCACACUUAGGAUGCUGGCGUAAUGGCUUUAAGUGGCCCGUCUUGAAACACGG
rnacentral:rRNA from 1 species